AUGACGCUGCUUGAGUUUCAUGUCGAGAUCUGGGAAUAUAUUGACAAGCUCUGUUGUGCGUACCUUUGGGCUGGUUGUGACAAGGUGUCAGGAGGCAAAUGCAAAAUGAAUUGGGAGCAAGUGUGUAAUCCUAAACUUCUCGGUGGCCUCGGUAUCCUCAAUCUUGAGAAGUUUGCUUCCCCCCUUAUGCCGCAAUGGCUUUGGUUUGCUUCGACCGAGCCAACAAAGCCAUGGAUUGGGCUUGGAUCACCCUGCAACGAGCAGGACAAGGAUCUUUUUGUUGGUGCCACGCCCUUCUCCAUUGGCAAUGGCGUGACCGUCUUUUUAUAA
rnacentral:rRNA from 1 species